rfam:Nematostella vectensis strain CH2 x CH6 NEMVEscaffold_436_Cont27173, whole genome shotgun sequence.
UAUCUGGUUGAUCCUGCCAGUAGUCAUAUGCUUGCCUCAAAGAUUAAGCCAUGCAUGUCUAAGUAUAAGCACUUGUACUGUGAAACUGCGAAUGGCUCAUUAAAUCAGUUAUCGUUUAUUUGAUUGUACCUUUACUACUUGGAUAACCGUGGUAAUUCUAGAGCUAAUACAUGCGAAAAGUCCCGACUUCUGGAAGGGAUGUAUUUAUUAGAUUCAAAACCAAUGCGGGUUCUGCCCGGUCAUUUGGUGAUUCAUAGUAACUGUUCGAAUCGCAGGGCCUCGCGCCGGCGAUGUUUCAUUCAAAUAUCUGCCCUAUCAACUGUCGAUGGUAAGGUGUUGGCUUACCAUGGUUACAACGGGUGACGGAGAAUUAGGGUCCGAUUCCGGAGAGGGAGCCUGAGAAACGGCUACCACAUCCAAGGAAGGCAGCAGGCGCGCAAAUUACCCAAUCCUGACUCAGGGAGGUAGUGACAAGAAAUAACAAUACAGGGCUUUUCUAAGUCUUGUAAUUGGAAUGAGUACAACUUAAAUCCUUUAACGAGGAUCCAUUGGAGAUCAAGUCUGGUGCCAGCAGCCGCGGUUAUUCCAGCUCCAAUAGCGUAUAUUAAAGUUGUUGCAGUUAAAAAGCUCGUAGUUGGAUUUCGGGACGGCACGGUCGGUCCACCGCAAGGUGUGUCACUGGCCGGGCUGUUCUUCCUCGCAAAGACUGCGUGUGCUCUUAGCUGAGUGUGCCCAGGACUUGCGACGUUUACUUUGAAAAAAUUAGAGUGUUCAAAGCAGGCCAUCGCUUGAAUACAUAAGCAAGGAAUAAUGGAAUAGGACUUUGGUUCUAUUUUGUUGGUUUCUGGAACCGAAGUAAUGAUUAAGAGGGACAGUUGGGGGCAUUCGUAUUUCGUUGUCAGAGGUGAAAUUCUUGGAUUUACGAAAGACGAACUACUGCGAAAGCAUUUGCCAAGAAUGUUUACAUUAAUCAAGAACGAAAGUUAGAGGAUCGAAGACGAUCAGAUACCGUCCUAGUUCUAACAAUAAACGAUGCCGACUAGGGAUCAGAGAGUGUUAUUGGACGACCUCUUUGGCACCUUAUGGGAAACCAAAGUUUUUGGGUUCCGGGGGAAGUAUGGUUGCAAAGCUGAAACUUAAAGGAAUUGACGGAAGGGCACCUCAGGAGUGGAGCCUGCGGCUUAAUUUGACUCAACACGGGGAAACUCACCAGGUCCAGACAUAGGAAGGAUUGACAGAUUGAGAGCUCUUUCUUGAUUUUAUGGGUGGUGGUGCAUGGCCGUUCUUAGUUGGUGGAGUGAUUUGUCUGGUUAAUUCCGUUAACGAACGAGACCUUAACCUGCUAAAUAGUUACGCUAAUCUCGAUUGGCGGCUAACUUCU